CCUACGGGGGACAGCAGUGAGGAAUAUUGGUCAAUGGGCGGGAGCCUGAACCAGCCAAGCCGCGUGAGGGAAGAAGGUCCAGCGUAUCGUAAACCUCUUUUGUCAGGGAACAAAGGCGGGGACUAGUCCCCGGAUGAGGGUACCUGAAGAAAAAGCAUCGGCUAACUCCGUGCCAGCAGCCGCGGUAAUACGGGGGAUGCGAGCGUUAUCCGGAUUUAUUGGGGUUAAGGGGUGCGCAGGGGGCCUGUUAAGUCAGCGGUAAACGCCCGGGGCUCAACCCCGACGAGCCGUUGAAACUGGCGGGCUGGAGUGGGAGAGAGGUACGCGGAAUGCGCGGUGUAGCGGUGAAAUGCGUAGAUAUCGCGCAGAACCCCGAUUGCGAAGGCAGCGUACCGGCUCCACACUGACGCUGAGGCACGAAAGCGUGGGUAUCGAACAGGAUUAGAUACCCUUGUAGUC
rnacentral:rRNA from 1 species